rnacentral:tRNA from 1 species
GAAGGAGUAGUCUAAAAAAGACAGCUGAUUUCGACUCAGCAAAUUGUGGUUCAACCCCACACCCCCUCU